UACGUAGGGGGCAAGCGUUAUCCGGAUUUACUGGGUGUAAAGGGAGCGUAGACGGAUCGUUAAGUCAGCGGUCAAAUCGUGGGGCUCAACCCCAUCCAGCCGUUGAAACUGGGGAUCUAGAGUGUGCGAGAGGUAUGCGGAAUGCGUGGUGUAGCGGUGAAAUGCAUAGAUAUCACGCAGAACCCCGAUUGCGAAGGCAGCAUACCGGUGCACAACUGACGCUCAGGCACGAAAGCGUGGGUAUCGAACAGG
rnacentral:rRNA from 1 species